rnacentral:rRNA from 1 species
UACGAAGGGGGCAAGCGUUGUCCGGAUUUAUUGGGCGUAAAGCGCACGUAGGCGGACUGUUAAGUCGGAUGUGAAAUCCCUCAGCUUAACUGAGGAAGUGCAUUCGAAACUGGCAGUCUUGAGUAUGGAAGAGGGUCGCGGAAUUCCCGGUGUAGAGGUGAAAUUCGUAGAUAUCGGGAGGAACACCAGUGGCGAAGGCGGCGACCUGGGCCAAUACUGACGCUGAGGUGCGAAAGCGUGGGGAGCAAACAGG